rnacentral:rRNA from 1 species
AUUGAACGCUGGCGGCAUGCCUUACACAUGCAAGUCGAACGGCAGCACGGGAGCAAUCCUGGUGGCGAGUGGCGAACGGGUGAGUAAUAUAUCGGAACGUGCCCGGUCGUGGGGGAUAACGUAGCGAAAGCUACGCUAAUACCGCAUACGAUCUACGGAUGAAAGCGGGGGAUCGCAAGACCUCGCGCGAUUGGAGCGGCCGAUAUCAGAUUAGGUAGUUGGUGAGGUAAAGGCUCACCAAGCCGACGAUCUGUAGCUGGUCUGAGAGGACGACCAGCCACACUGGGACUGAGACACGGCCCAGACUCCUACGGGAGGCAGCAGUGGGGAAUUUUGGACGAAUGGGCGGCAAGCCUGAUCCAGCAAUGCCGCGUGCAGGAUGAAGGCCCUCGGGUUGUAAACUGCUUUG